GGAGGUUGUUCCCUUCAUGUUGGUCAAAGAUCCCUCCAUUUUGCGUUGGGGUCCUGAUUUUUUCUGUAAUAACAACUGACUGGCGCAUCUGUUGUCUCUCACUUAGCUUCUCAUUUAUCGGACUGUUGUACUGUUUGUUAACACAAAACUACUCAAGAAUGUACCUGCACAUGUCAUAUUUCUUAAUCAAUGAUAUUCAAGCAUUCAGGUCCCAUAAAUUUCUGUUUUACAGAAUGUUAUAAUGAAUGUGUCGCACGCCUGUAUAACAGGUUGAGAAUUUGGCAACCGCUCUCUUUGUGCGCUGCAUGCAAACGCGUUGGUGUGUUUUCUGUGCGGCAGCUGAUUUCUCCGAGAUCUGCAAAUGCGCCGGCCAUCUGUUUGGUGGUAAUUAAACCUUUAACUUUUGGCAGGAAAGGCAGGAAAAACAUCAAUGUGUUGUCUUUUCUGGGGUUGAAUAAGUAGAUUUGUUUGGAGGUAAUGAUACCUCCCAAUUCUGGUGAGUUGCUUUAUUUGACUCAGCUGUUUUUUGCCUUUCGUAUUCAUUCUCUUGUCUGAUGAUUCUGGCCAAGUGGAACCGUUCCCCUUUGGGAGGACUUCCAGAGAAGGUAGAUCCGUUACUUAAAAUGAAGAACGAAAGAAGCCGAUAAAAGUGUGGAGACACUCGAGGGACAAAAGCUAAAGAAGAUAGAGGGAAAUGAGGAGGGAGUCGUACAUAUGUCUGUAGUUGAACGUCUUGAAGUGGAGAGCUUUGACGUCGGUCCUCCGACUGGUGUGAUCUUAGCACAG